GACGGUACCUGCAGAAGAAGCACCGGCUAACUAUGUGCCAGCAGCCGCGGUAAUACAUAGGGUGCAAGCGUUGUCCGGAAUUAUUGGGCGUAAAGAGCUCGUAGGUGGUUCGUCACGUCGGAUGUGAAACUCUGGGGCUUAACCCCAGACCUGCAUUCGAUACGGGCGAGCUUGAGUAUGGUAGGGGAGUCUGGAAUUCCUGGUGUAGCGGUGGAAUGCGCAGAUAUCAGGAGGAACACCAAUGGCGAAGGCAGGACUCUGGGCCAUUACUGACACUGAGGAGCGAAAGCGUGGGGAGCGAACAGGAUUAGAUACCCUGGUAGUCCACGCCGUAAACGGUGGGCACUAGUUGUGGGGACCUUCCACGGUCUCUGCGACGCAUCUAACGCAUUAAGUGCCCCGCCUGGGGAGUACGAUCGCAAGAUUAAAACUC
rnacentral:rRNA from 1 species